UCUUAAGGAUGAGCAAAGAAAGUGGUUCCUUGAGAUGGAAUCUACUCCUUGUGAAGAUGUUGGGAA
rnacentral:pre_miRNA from 1 species